rfam:Subdoligranulum sp. CAG:314 genomic scaffold, scf36
UAUUUCCUGCCUUGUGCGUUAGGAAUACGAGCGUUUGCGUCAACCACAUUUAGCAAAAGGGAAAUGACGUCCGCGCAAAUAUGUCAGGCCUCUCGCCGCCUAAAGCGGCUCAAAAGUCGGAAACGGCUUCGGGGGAAGACAGAAAAUGCCGGCUAAUUACCCACCUGAUUUAUUCAGGUUGACUAUUGCUCUCCGACGGCAAGGCGGGAAUUUU